rnacentral:rRNA from 1 species
AGAGUUUGAUCCUGGCUCAGAAUCAACGCUGGCGGCGCGCUUAACACAUGCAAGUCGAACGAGAAAGCCCGCAAGGGUGAGUAAAGUGGCGUACGGGUGAGUAACACGUGGGUAAUCUACCUUUUGGUGGGGAAUAACCCUGGGAAACCGGGGCUAAUACCGCAUAAGCUCGAAAGAGGAAAGGAGCAAUUCGCCGAAAGAGGAGCCCGCGGCUGAUUAGCUAGUUGGUAGGGUAAAAGCCUACCAAGGCUAUGAUCGGUAGCCGGCCUGAGAGGGCACACGGCCACACUGGCACUGAAACACGGGCCAGACUCCUACGGGAGGCAGCAGUGGGGAAUCUUGCACAAUGGGGGAAACCCUGAUGCAGCGACGCCGCGUGAGUGAUGAAGCCCUUCGGGGUGUAAAGCUCUUUCGGCAGGGACGAUAAUGACGGUACCUGAAGAAGAAGCUGCGGCUAACUACGUGCCAGCAGCCGCGGUAAUACGUAGGCAGCGAGCGUUGUUCGGAGUUACUGGGCGUAAAGAGUGCGUAGGCGGUUUUCUAAGUUUGGUGUGAAAUCUCCCGGCUUAACUGGGAGGGUGCGCCGAAGAUUGGAAGGCUAGAGUAUGGGGAGAGGUAAGCGGAAUUCCUGGUGUAGCGGUGAAAUGCGUAGAUAUCAGAGGAACACCUGCGGUGUAGACGGCUUACUGGACCAUAACUGACGCUGAGCACGAAAGCGU